rnacentral:rRNA from 1 species
UACGAAGGGGGCUAGCGUUGUUCGGAUUUACUGGGCGUAAAGCGCACGUAGGCGGUUUGGUCAGUUAGGGGUGAAAUCCCAGAGCUCAACUCUGGAACUGCCCUUAAUACUGCCAGUCUAGAGUCCGGAAGAGGUGAGUGGAACUCCUAGUGUAGAGGUGGAAUUCGUAGAUAUUCGCAAGAACACCAGUGGCGAAGGCGGCUCACUGGCCCGAUACUGACGCUGAGGUGCGAAAGCGUGGGGAGCAAACAGG